UGGACACAGACCCCCAUUACAACUUCCGUUUUUCGGUAGGGACGAUUGUAGUUCUGUGAAUUUUAGGGUAUAAAGUCUUUUUUUGCUCCCAGGCGUCCAUUUUUGGUGCACAGGUGCAUGCUUGGUAUUAAAAUGCUGGAAACUGUCUAAACUUUGAGGAGGUAUGAGCUUUAUUGAUGAAAGUUUGAAACUCUGGGCGAGAGGACACAAGGUGUGAGGUAGUGAUGAGGCUGCGAGUGACGUCCCCUUGGCGUUGCUAGGCACGCCUCCCAGCUGCCGGCAUGGAAAGGUCCAGAUUUUGACGGUCAACCUAUGUCAAGAUUUUUAUGGCUUCUUUCUCACAGGCUGGGCCAGGUAUGCACCAAAGCUUAUUGGCCACGGAAUGUUUGGGACUGAGCUACAGUGCUAGACGUUAACAUUGUCGCUUAUGGAAAAUUAAUGGGGGUCCGAGGCCUGUACUGACGAAGUCACCAAAAUGUGAAAAAUGUCACUAUGCGCUUAGAUUUCGCAGCAGCCUGAUAAUUUUUGGUGAAAUACUGGCGCCGACAGCUUGGAGUUUGGCAGCCGUGGACUUGUCCUGGCCAUUGUUAAGUCUGUGGAUUGUGGACGCCGCCCUUCCCUCCAUAUUUCUGCUGUAGUUUACAUUCUUGGGCAAGGAGACGCUGAGUGAUCUGUUGACAGCUUCGCACUUUUGAGUACUGGUGUUCAUCCGGAGACUGGUGACGGCUGUCUCGCUCAACCUCAUGUGCAGUACUUCGGUCAAUAGUUUCCUGUCGUUGUCAUCCAUGUUGAAAGGGCAGAGUUUACUGGUGGAUAAAAACAGGGAUCUCUCCCACCAGCUGCUGGUUUCCCCUCCGGAGCAAACCACACUGUUCCUGCGGCAUUUGGAACAGUCCCCACCGUAACACCUGACCGUUGCAUCCACAACCCUGGAUGCCAAUGUGACACCCUUUGAUGUGACUGUGUAGAGUAAUAACCUGCUGUGAGACAACAGCAAUGGUGCAGGGAGGUUUUUGCAUGAUAAACAUCUUGUCUUUCCAAAACAGUUGACCUGAUGGAGAUAUCUUGAACGGUAUAUGCACUGCAAAGCUUCAAAGUUUACCCUUCAGAGUUUUUUCACCCUGAAAAAAAGACACAUGUCCAAGAUGGGGGUACCCCAACUUGAAUUCAUUCAACUCCAAAGUUUCUGCAUGUAUCAAGCCCUAAUUUUGCCUGUGAGGUUCAGAAGUGUCAGGAAUUGUGUGGUGCAAAAAUUAUUGAUUUUGAAAAAAGGUGGCUGGUGUGAUAGGACACAGACCCCCAUUACAACUUCCGUUUUUCGGUAGGGACGAUUGUAGUUCUGUGAAUUUUAGGGUAUAAAGUCUUUUUUUGCUCCCAGGCGUCCAUUUUUGGUGCACAGGUGCAUGCUUGGUAUUAAAAUGCUGGAAACUGUCUAAACUUUGAGGAGGUAUGAGCUUUAUUGAUGAAAGUUUGAAACUCUGGGCGAGAGGACACAAGGUGUGAGGUAGUGAUGAGGCUGCGAGUGACGUCCCCUUGGCGUUGCUAGGCACGCCUCCCAGCUGCCGGCAUGGAAAGGUCCAGAUUUUGACGGUCAACCUAUGUCAAGAUUUUUAUGGCUUCUUUCUCACAGGCUGGGCCAGGUAUGCACCAAAGCUUAUUGGCCACGGAAUGUUUGGGACUGAGCUACAGUGCUAGACGUUAACAUUGUCGCUUAUGGAAAAUUAAUGGGGGUCCGAGG